UCGAUUAACGCGAAGAACCUUACCUACCCCUUGACAUGCCAGGAAUCCUGCAGAGAUGUGGGAGUGCCCGAAAGGGAAUCUGGACACAGGUGCUGCAUGGCGUGUCGUCAGCUCGUGUCGUGAGAUGUUGGGUUAAGUCCCGCAACGAGCGCAACCCUUAUCAUUAGUUGCUACGCAAGGGCACUCUAAUGAGACUGCCGGUGACAAACCGGAGGAAGGUGGGGAUGACGUCAAGUCAUCAUGGCCCUUAUGGGUAGGGCUUCACACGUCAUACAAUGGUCGGUACAGAGGGUCGCCAACCCGCGAGGGGGAGCCAAUCCCAGAAAACCGAUCGUAGUCCGCAGUCUGCAACUCGACUGCAUGAAGUCGGAUCGCUAGUAAUU
rnacentral:rRNA from 1 species